AAUUUCUGACUCGCGAUCAAUCCCGAAUGUUUUUCCGCCCCCGUUCUGAUGCUCUAAAUAUUUUUAAUAGACUCCAGAUGAAUUCUGAUAUCCUGUAUAAAUAUUUCCCGAGCCUCCGGCUUCCUCGAAGAAUUCCAUAAUACCGAAAUUAGGGUUUUCGCCCAACUUCGGGUUUUCCCGUCGUGCUUUGAUCCUGUCGUGCUUGCUUCCCGUCAUGCUUAAUUCCCGUCCUGCUUAAUUCCCGUCCUGCUUCCAAUGUCUUCGAAAUAAUAUUCCGCUGAAAUGAAGUUUUGCGGAAAACUUCGUGCUGAAGAAACGUCAUUCUUCCCAAACGUCGAGCUUCUAAACCGUCGUACUUCCAAAAAUGUUGUACUUCCAAAACGUCCUUCAUAUCAAUCCAAGACAUCUACUAACUAUGGUCGAGUAACUUAUUCGACUCAUAGUUCACCCACGAUCACUUCUUCGCCCACCUCGUACUUUAAAACUUCUCGAUCGAUCCUUAUCGCCCGCAACUCGACC
rnacentral:lncRNA from 1 species